rnacentral:rRNA from 1 species
UACGGGGGGGAGCAAGCGUUGUUCGGAUUUACUGGGCGUAAAGGGCGCGUAGGCGGCCACCGCAAGUCGGUUGUGAAAUCUCUGGGCUUAACCCAGAAAGGUCAACCGAUACUGCGGGGCUAGAGUGCAGAAGGGGCAACUGGAAUUCCCGGUGUAGCGGUGGAAUGCGUAGAGAUCGGGAAGAAUACCUGUGGCGAAGGCGGCCAGCUGGGCCAGAUCCGACACUGAGGCGCGAAAGCGUGGGGAGCAAACAGG